GACGAACGCUGGCGGCGUGCUUAACACAUGCAAGUCGAACGGAAAGGCCCUGCUUUUGUGGGUUGCUCGAUUGGCGAACGGGUGAGUAACACGUGAGUAACCUGCCCUUGACUGUGGGAUAACUUCAGGAAACUGGGGCUAAUACCGGAUAGGAUCUCCUGCUGCAUGGUGGGGGUUGGAAAGUUUCGGCGGUUGGGGAUGGACUCGCGGCUUAUCAGCUUGUUGGUGGGGUAGUGGCUUACCAAGGCUUUGACGGGUAGCCGGCCUGAGAGGGUGACCGGCCACGUUGGGACUGAGAUACGGCCCAGACUCCUACGGGAGGCAGCAGUGGGGAAUAUUGCACAAUGGGCGGAAGCCUGAUGCAGCAACGCCGCGUGCGGGAUGACGGCCUUCGGGUUGUAAACCGCUUUCGACUGUGACGAAGAGUGAGUGACGGUAAUGGGUAAAGAAGCACCGGCUAACUACGUG
rnacentral:rRNA from 1 species